CGAUUGAAAGAAAUAGGAGCAUGCGACGCGAACAAAUCUGUAGUUGGCAAUACUAAAAUUUAAUCGACCGAUUAGUUUAAUCAGAAUUGAUGCAUAUCCAAGCGUAUCCCUUGACAAUGAAUGGGUGUAAAUGGGCGAGUUCAAAUCGGCAAAGCGGGUCUAUUUGCCUAAACAUUGGUUAAAUCCACAGGUAAAAAUCAAUCAAGCUCAUUCAUAUGAACUCUUCCAUUGCCGGGGAUGAUGCCCGGGAUUUAGGAAUGAUGAAACUUGCUGUGCGCUAACGCCAUCUAAGUAAAUAACGCAGCUGGAGUAACAACCGCACAUGUGAGAAACACAAUCAAUACUAGAAAAUGCCUAUUACGCCGAAUUGUUUUUCCGGACUUAUAAAUGCAAUUAAACUAUUCUAGUAAUCGCGA